GUCAGGGCUAUCUGGCUGUGACAUCUGUCACCCUAUUGAUCGCCAACAUUGAUGCAGCUGAUCUGGCUGGCUAGGAGGGUAUCCCCUUCCUCCCUCACCACAUGUGUCCUUCCCCAAGUUGUGUGUGCUCAGUCGCAGAGGAUGACCUUCCUCGGUCUUCAGUCAAAGGUAUACAAGUAGCUGGGCACCCCUGCUAAAACCUCCAGAUAAGCUUUCCAAGUUCAGACAGCUGGUUAAAAUUACACAAUUAAUAAAAAAAAAUUGUUU
rnacentral:snRNA from 1 species